rnacentral:misc_RNA from 1 species
UUAAGUUCAGCGGGUAGUCUUACUUGAUUUGAGAUCGAGUUUACAAAGGCCAGCCGAAGCUGUCUCUGUGAAUCCUGCAUCAGUCAGCACAAGAACUAAUCUCCUUUAUGUUAGCUGCAGCAAAGGUAAUAAUCUGUUUUUUAGGCAGACUAAAUAGAUAUGCUUUUAGCUCAGAGAAAAGUCCAGCUGCACCUGCAUUU